AACCUCCGCAAUGNNNGAAACCGCGACGGGGGGACCCCCAGUGCCGUGCCUCUGGCACGGCUUUUCCGGAGUGUAAAAAGCUCCGGGAAUAAGGGCUGGGCAAGGCCGGUGGCAGCCGCCGCGGUAAUACCGGCGGCCCGAGUGGUGGCCACUAUUAUUGGGCCUAAAGCGGCCGUAGCCGGGCCCGUAAGUCCCUGGCGAAAUCCCACGGCCCAACCGUGGGGCUCGCUGGGGAUACUGCGGGCCUUGGGACCGGGAGAGGCCGGGGGUACCCCCGGGGUAGGGGUGAAAUCCUAUAAUCCCGGGGGGACCGCCAGUGGCGAAGGCGCCCGGCUGGAACGGGUCCGACGGUGAGGGCCGAAGGCCAGGGGAGCGAACCGGAUUAGAUACCCGGGUUAGUCCUGGCUGUAAAGGAUGCGGGCUAGGUGUCGGGCGAGCUUCGAGCUCGCCCGGUGCCGUAGGGAAGCCGUUAAGCCCGCCGCCUGGGGAGUACGGCCGCAAGGCUGAAACUUAAAGGAAUUGGCGGGGGAGCAC
rnacentral:rRNA from 1 species